AUUGAACGCUGGCGGCAGGCCUAACACAUGCAAGUCGAACGGUAACAGGAAACAGCUUGCUGUUUCGCUGACGAGUGGCGGACGGGUGAGUAAUGUCUGGGAAACUGCCUGAUGGAGGGGGAUAACUACUGGAAACGGUAGCUAAUACCGCAUAACGUCGCAAGACCAAAGAGGGGGACCCUCGGGCCUCUUGCCAUCGGAUGUGCCCAGAUGGGAUUAGCUUGUUGGUGGGGUAACGGCUCACCAAGGCGACGAUCCCUAGCUGGUCUGAGAGGAUGACCAGCCACACUGGAACUGAGACACGGUCCAGACUCCUACGGGAGGCAGCAGUGGGGAAUAUUGCACAAUGGGCGCAAGCCUGAUGCAGCCAUGCCGCGUGUAUGAAGAAGGCCUUCGGGUUGUAAAGUACUUUCAGCGGGGAGGAAGGGAGUCAAGUUAAUACCUUUGCUCAUUGACGUUACCCGCAGAAGAAGCACCGGCUAACUCCGUG
rnacentral:rRNA from 1 species